rnacentral:RNase_P_RNA from 1 species
GGAGAUGGCCGGACGGUCGCGGGCACCAUCGGUGCCUGAGGAAAGUCCGAGCUCCACAGAGCAGGUUCGCGGGUAACGCCCGUCCGCCGUGAGGCGAGGACCAGCGCCACAGUGACGAUGCCUGCGUGCAGACGCAGGAGUGAAACGCGGCAAGCUCGAGCCGGAGCAAGACCAAAUAGGAGGACGCAAGGCGACGUUCGCGUCGCAGCAGGCUGCUCGCUCAGCCCUCGGGUUGGUCGCACGAGAGAUCGGGCAACCGGUCUCCAAGAUGGAUGACCGUCGCCGGGCGCGAGCCCGGGACAGAACUCGGCUUACAGGCCAUUCUCCAGGC